AGGAACUGGGGUUUUAUUUGCAAAUAUUUGAAGACCAUGGAUUAUGGACGAAGGAAUACUAAGAAGUACAGUUUCAGAUGUCCCGAUUUGAAAGAGUUAAGAAAGUUAUCAUCUUUUGUAUUAAGUCCCUUGGACUUCAAACAAUGUCAUGGGAAGCUUCUAUCUGUAUUAUCUGCCGAUGUAAUGGAAGGACUCUUGAGUGUUUUGGUUCAGUUUUAUGAUCC
rnacentral:lncRNA from 1 species